rnacentral:lncRNA from 1 species
CUGCUUUCAACUACACUGAACGUUGGGCAACAUGGCAAACACAAGAUUUCUUGCCAUGGAGAAGGAAUUCUGAUUUCUGCCACAUCUUCAACCCUGGGCAGUGAUUGGAGAAAACGUCUAGGUUCUGAAGCCUGAAAACCGAAGUUGGGAAGAGAUGACGACCUAAGGCUUUGGCAGGUCCGAUGUGUUUAGUGUGCAUCCAGGUGGCUGGGUCUGGGUCGUGAGGUCCAGGCUCAGGCUGUGACAGAAAGGGCAUUAGUGCCCAGGACAUCCUGUAGAAUUGGGGUACAGUCAAGUGGCGAGAAGGUUGAUCCACAUUUGGGGUUUCUGGGUAGUCCCAGAGGGCUAUGAUUUUUCUUCUGGAGGGCAGGCCGAGGGCUGCAUUGUAGUUCUCGAAUUGCCAAACUGGAGGGCUUGUGGGCCAGAAGUUGAGGACAGAAGUCUGAGAACACAAGCAACCUUAGGUUUCUGGGCAAGGGCAUGGCAGGUACGCUCUGCAGAGCUGAAUCGAGAUCUCGUGCAUCUGAAAUCAGGGUGAGGAUCAGAUGUUGCCUCAGUUUGGUGUUUCUGUCCAUAAUGGCCCUUUAAUGAAGCGGAU